rnacentral:piRNA from 1 species
AGGAUUCGUGUGAUUUUCAGCAUUCCA